GUGCCAGCCGCCGCGGUAAUACGGAGGAUGCAAGCGUUAUCCGGAAUGAUUGGGCGUAAAGGGUCCGCAGGUGGUACUGUAAGUCUGCUGUUAAAGAGUCUAGCUCAACUAGAUAAAAGCAGUGGAAACUACAGAACUAGAGUGCGUUCGGGGCAGAAGGAAUUCCUGGUGUAGCGGUGAAAUGCGUAGAUAUCAGGAAGAACACCGGUGGCGAAAGCGUUCUGCUAGGCCGCAACUGACACUGAGGGACGAAAGCUAGGGGAGCGAAUGGGAUUAGAAACCCUCGUAGUCC
rnacentral:rRNA from 1 species